AGGGUGACCCAGAUUCCGUCCUCAGAUGCUCAGAAAGAAAAGAAAGCCCAAGAGUCCCAGAGAGCCUGGCACCUGAAAAAGGAUCUCCCUGUCGCCAACCUGUCCCCCUCCCCCAGCAGAACCCAAGGCGGGCGCUGGCAGCAGGAAGCUGGGGAAGGACGGGAGGCUGAGAGGGAAGGAGGGCAGCCCAGCCCCUACAGUUCUCUCCGGGAUGAACAACAGGAAAGGAAUGAAGCAGAUUCUUCUGAAAUAAAACCCAGUUCUUAUCCCAGCUGCCUCCAACCUCAGAUCUCUGCUAUCAGCUUCUGAUUUCUACUCUUCCAAACACGGAGACUGCUCUGCUCCUCCUCCAACAGGUGGAGGUCUCUUUGCCCUCAGACCUUUGGGUUCCCAUAGCCUGUCUGGAAAGCCCUUCCCAGGCUCCAUAGGCUCUCCCUCACCUUGCCGUUCUCGUUCUCAUCUUCUAAAGCACAAUUCAGAAGUCUCCCUGGCAGAUAGUUUUAGCAGAAAGUGCCCCAUUCCCCACAAAUCAGCGUAUACUCAGCACCUUGCUUAGUUGCCCCCAUAGCCCAUAACACUGCCUGAAAUAAUCUUGUUUGUGUGUUUACUGGUUUAUAGUCCACCUCCCUUAGUAAGCCUGUAAACUCCAGAAGGCUUCUCUUUCCCCAGAGAGUGCCACAAAAGAGUGUGCAAA